GGUGUCGUAGCCAAAUGGAAAGGCAAGAGUCUGCAAAACUUUUACAUGCUGGUUCGAGUCCAGCGGGCACCU
rnacentral:tRNA from 1 species